rnacentral:rRNA from 1 species
CAUGCCUAACACAUGCAAGUCGAACGUAGCAUGACUUGUAGCAAUACAGGUUGAUGGCGAGUGGCGGACGGGUGAGGAACACAUCGGAAUCUGCCCGGUUGUGGGGGAUAACGUAGGGAAACUUACGCUAAUACCGCAUACGAUCGAGAGAUGAAAGCGGGGGACCGUAAGGCCUCGCGCAGUCGGAUGAGCCGAUGUCGGAUUAGCUAGUUGGUGGGGUAAAGGCCUACCAAGGCGACGAUCCGUAGCUGGUCUGAGAGGAUGAUCAGCCACACUGGGACUGAGACACGGCCCAGACUCCUACGGGAGGCAGCAGUGGGGAAUAUUGGACAAUGGGGGCAACCCUGAUCCAGCAAUGCCGCGUGUGUGAAGAAGGCCUUCGGGUCGUAAAGCACUUUUAUCCGGAACGAAACGUGUCGGGUUAACAGCCCGGCAAACUGACGGUACCGGAGGAAUAAGCACCGGCUAACUUCGUGCCAGCAGCCGCGGUAAUACGA